rnacentral:rRNA from 1 species
UACGUAGGUGGCAAGCGUUGUCCGGAUUUACUGGGCGUAAAGAGCGCGCAGGCGGCUCGGUAAGUCUGCUGUGAAAUCUCCCGGCUUAACUGGGAGGGGUCAGCAGAUACUGUCGGGCUUGAGGCAGGUAGAGGAAGGUGGAAUUCCGGGUGUAGUGGUGGAAUGCGUAGAGAUCCGGAGGAACACCAGCGGCGAAGGCGGCAUCCUGGACUGGCAUUGACGCUGAGGCGCGAAAGCUAGGGGAGCAAACGGG